rnacentral:rRNA from 1 species
CCCAGACUCCUACGGGAGGCAGCAGUGGGGAAUAUUGGGCAAUGGGCGAAAGCCUGACCCAGCGACGCCGCGUGAGGGAAGAAGGUCUUCGGAUUGUAAACCUCUUUCAGCAGGGAAGAAGAAAGUGACGGUACCUGCAGAAGAAGUCACGGCUAACUACGUGCCAGCAGCCGCGGUAAUACGUAGGGGGCAAGCGUUAUCCGGAUUCACUGGGUGUAAAGGGAGCGUAGACGGCGACGCAAGUCUGGAGUGAAAGCCCGGGGCCCAACCCCGGGACUGCUCUGGAAACUGCGUCGCUGGAGUACGGGAGGGGCAGGCGGAAUUCCUGGUGUAGCGGUGAAAUGCGCAGAUAUCAGGAGGAACACCGGCGGCGAAGGCGGCCUGCUGAACCGUGACUGACGUUGAGGCUCGAGAGCGUGGGGAGCAAACAGGAUUAGAUACCCCAGUA